UGUCUCCAUUGUUCUUUGUUGUGUGUGAUAUAUCACAGAAUCGCAGAACCAUCUAGGUUGAAAAAGACCUUGCAGAUCAUCCAGUCCAACCAUUAACCUAACAGUGACAGUUCCCAACUACACCAGAUCCCUCAGCAUUGUGUCAACC